UGAGGAAUAUUGGUCAAUGGGCGCAGGCCUGAACCAGCCAAGUAGCGUGAAGGAUUACUGCCCUACGGGUUGUAAACUUCUUUUAUAUGGGAAUAAAGUUUUCCACGUGUGGAAUUUUGUAUGUACCAUAUGAAUAAGGAUCGGCUAACUCCGUGCCAGCAGCCGCGGUAAUACGGCGGAUCCGAGCGUUAUCCGGAUUUAUUGGGUUUAAAGGGAGCGUAGGUGGACAGUUAAGUCAGUUGUGAAAGUUUGCGGCUCAACCGUAAAAUUGCAGUUGAUACUGGCUGGAUUGAGUACAGUAGAGGUGGGCGGAAUUCGUGGUGUAGCAGUGAAAUGCUUAGAUAUCACGAAGAACUCGGAUUGCGAAGGCAGCUCACUGGACUGCAACUGACACUGAUGCUCGAAAGUGUGGGUAUCAAACAGG
rnacentral:rRNA from 1 species